UACAGGGGGGGCAAGCGUUGUUCGGAAUUACUGGGCGUAAAGGGCUCGUAGGUGGCCAACUAAGUCGGACGUGAAAUCCCUCAGCUUAACUGGGGAACUGCAUCCGAUACUGGAUGGCUUGAGUUUGGGAGAGGGAUGCGGAAUUCCAGGUGUAGCGGUGAAAUGCGUAGAUAUCUAGAGGAACACCGGUGGCGAAGGCGGCAUCCUGGACCAACACUGACACUGGGGAGCGAAAGCCAGGGGAGCAAACGGG
rnacentral:rRNA from 1 species